GGGGGCGUAGCUCAGUGGUAGAGUGCUUGCUUGGCACAUGUGAGGCCCUGGGUUGGAGCCCCAGCACACCCC
rnacentral:tRNA from 1 species